UACGUAGGGGUCGAGCGUUGUCCGGAGUUACUGGGCGUAAAGCGCAUGCAGGCGGCUCAUUAAGCAUGGCGUGAAAGCCCCCGGCUCAACCGGGGAGGGUCGUCGUGAACUGGUGAGCUUGAGGGUAUCAGGGGCUGGUAGAAUUCCCGGUGUAGUGGUGAAAUGCGUAGAGAUCGGGAGGAACACCUGUGGCGAAGGCGGCCAGCUGGGAUACACCUGACGCUGAGAUGCGAAGGCGUGGGGAGCGAACGGGAUUAGAUACCCGCGUA
rnacentral:rRNA from 1 species